rnacentral:rRNA from 1 species
CGUGUAGGCGGUUUUCUAAGUCGGACGUGAAAGCUCCCGGCUCAACUGGGAGAGGUCGUUCGAAACUAGGAAACUUGAGGAUGGUAGAGGAGAGUGGAAUUCCCGGUGUAGUGGUGAAGUGCGUAGAUAUCGGGAGGAACACCAGUGGCGAAGGCGGCUCUCUGGGCCAUUCCUGACGCUAAGACGCGAAAGCUAGGGGAGAGAACG